CAGAGAUGCUCCCUGCUGCUUCUAAAAAUCAAAAUGCUUCUUCAUCUGGAGAGCAACCUGAGAAAGAACACGACUAUGUCAAUGCCGCAGUAUGGACCAUGAACAAAAUAUCACCCACUUCAAAUAAGAAGUGUUGCUCCUUUAUUCAGCCUUUUCUACCAGUAGCAGUGAGUUGGGUAUUACUGUUGGUAAUCAUUGGCCUGCGUAUCCACUAUACCUCUGUCAUUUCUUCAAACAACGCCAAGCUGACUGUAG